UUUCCGUAGGUGAACCUGCGGAAGGAUCGUUAAUUAUAUAAGGCCAUAGGGCAAGCUUUCCGAAAGGAUCGAGCUUGCUGUGUGAACCCUACCUACCCUUGCUUUUUGCGUACCCAUUGUUUCCUCGGCAGGCUUGCCUGCCAGUAGGAACCUCUUAAACCCUUUGUAAUUGCAGUCAGCGUCAGAGACAACGUAAUCGUUACAACUUUCAACAACGGAUCUCUUGGUUCUG
rnacentral:misc_RNA from 1 species